GAGAUAGGGUAGGGUUAGGGUUGGGUUAGGGGUAGAGGUAGGGUUAGGGUAGGGUUAGGGUACCCCUAAACCUUACCCUAACCCUAACCCUACCCCAACCCC
rnacentral:miRNA from 1 species